AGUGUAAAGGUCAUUCAUGUGAUGCCCGGUGCAUCGGCAAAGAGUGCAAUGCAUAUUGCGACAGCGUCUCAUGCCGAUACACCAUAAAUGGCGAAUUGAAAAGUGGCAUGAUCGAGCAAGCCCGGAACCAGCAGCUUCAGCCAAGGAGACCUAAUGCCAGAACUAGUGCGGAAGAUGACGAACUUGGACUCGAAUCUAGUGAACGGAUAGCCCAAGAAUUAAAU